rnacentral:rRNA from 1 species
ACGGCUCAGUAACACGUGGAUAACCUACCCUCAGGUGGGGGAUAACCCCGGGAAACUGGGGAUAAUACCCCAUAGACCAGGGACGCUGGAAUGCCCCCUGAUCGAAAGGUCCGCCGCCUGAGGAUGGGUCUGCGGCCGAUUAGGUUGUUGUUGGGGUAACGGCCCAACAAGCCUUUGAUCGGUACGGGUUGUGAGAGCAAGAGCCCGGAGAUGGAUUCUGAGACACAAAUCCAGGCCCUACGGGGCGCAGCAGGCGCGAAAACUUUACAAUGCGAGAAAUCGUGAUAAGGGAACCCCGAGUGCCCGUAAAUUCGGGCUGUCCAUCAGCGUAAAAAACUGGUGAAGAAAGGGCCGGGCAAGACCGGUGCCAGCCGCCGCGGUAAUACCGGCGGCUCGAGUGGUGGCCACUAUUACUGGGCUUAAAGCGUCCGUAGCUGGAUUGUUAAGUCUCUUGGGAAAUCCGCCGGCUUAACCGGCGGGCGUUCAGGAGAAACUGGCAAUCUAGGGACCGGGAGAGGUGAGAGGUACUCCAGGGGUAGGAGUGAAAUCCUGUAAUCCUUGGGGGACCACCUGUGGCGAAGGCGUCUCACUAGAACGGCUCCGACAGUGAGGGACGAAAGCUGGGGGAGCAAACCGGAUUAGAUACCCGGGUAGUCCCAGCUGUAAACGAUGCGCGUUAGGUGUAUCGGUGACCACGAGUCAUCGAGGUGCCGAAGGGAAACCGUGAAACGUGCCGCCUGGGAAGUACGGUCGCAAGGCUGAAACUUAAAGGAAUUGGCGGGGGAGCACCACAACGGGUGGAGCCUGCGGUUUAAUUGGACUCAACGCCGGGAAGCUCACCGGAUAAGACAGCUGGAUGAUAGCCGGGCUGAAGACUCUGCUUGACUAGCUGAGAGGAGGUGCAUGGCC